CUGGGAUUAGAUACCCCACUAUGCUUAGCCAUAAACAUAGACGUUACACCCACAAUAACAUCCGCCAGAGGACUACAAGCGAAAAGCUAGAAACCCUAAGGACUUGGCGGUGCUUCAAACCACCCUAGAGGAGCCUGUCCUAUAAUCGAUACUCCCCGCUCUACCCCACCACCCCUAGCCAGUCAGCCUAUAUACCGCCGUCGCCAGCUUACCUUAUGAAAGAACCAUAGUAGGCAAAAUAGUUAACAACUAACACGUCAGGUCAAGGUGUAGCAUAUGAGGUGGAAGAGAUGGGCUACAUUUUUCACACAAACACACGAACAACGUACUGAAACACACGUUUAAAGGUGGAUUUAGUAGUAAUAUAAAUAAGAAAAUUUAUAUAAAACCUGCUCUGAAGCGCGCACACACCGCCCG
rnacentral:rRNA from 1 species